UACGUAGGGUGCGAGCGUUGUCCGGAAUUACUGGGCGUAAAGAGCUCGUAGGUGGUUUGUCGCGUUGUCCGUGAAAACUCACAACUCAAUUGUGGGCGUGCGGGCGAUACGGGCAGACUGGAGUACUGCAGGGGAGACUGGAAUUCCUGGUGUAGCGGUGGAAUGCGCAGAUAUCAGGAGGAACACCGGUGGCGAAGGCGGGUCUCUGGGCAGUAACUGACGGCUGAGGAGCGAAAGCGUGGGGAGCGAACAGG
rnacentral:rRNA from 1 species